UACGUAGGGUGCGAGCGUUAAUCGGAAUUACUGGGCGUAAAGCGUGCGCAGGCGGUUCGCUGUGUCCGAUGUGAAAGCCCCGGGCUCAACCUGGGAAUGGCAUGGGAAACUGGCGGGCUGGAGUGUGGCAGAGGGGGGGUGGAAUUCCGCGUGUAGCAGUGAAAUGCGUAGAUAUCGGGAGGAACAUCAGUGGCGAAGGCGGCCCUCUGGUCCAGUACUGACACUCAAGUGCGAAAGCGUGGGGAGCAAACAGG
rnacentral:rRNA from 1 species